AGCUUCUGAGAACAGGUUUGUGGGAUAACUAUAGGAGAAUGUGGUGAGAGUACUCCAGAGAUGCAAGGCAGGAAAGACAACUUCAGAUUUAUGACUCCUGACUGCAGAGCCCUAUUUACUUAAAGCUCAUGAAGAAGAUGACAUCAUUGAGCUGAGUGCUGGGAUGAUUACAGAGAAAGAUGCUACCACUCUGGACUUUUACUUGGAAUCUGGGGAUUUGUAUACAGAUCCUCACAAGUGCAUAACAAGUGUUUUACAAACUGAGCUGUCACUCCAGCCUGAGAGCACUGAAAUUUUGACACUCAGUCUUGAACAUUGGGUUCACAGAAUCUCAGCUGACAACAUGUGGCAGAGGUUCAAAGGAGCCAGGAUAAUGGCUGUAAAAGGAGGGAGGGAAGAGGUUUAGGCUGCUUGGCAUCAAUGGUGGAUUGGAAGUCAGAGGACCCCAGAUGCCACCCAUGGACCUCACAGCUGGGGAGAACUUGGUAGUUUCCUGAGUUCUGAAGUCCCAACUUUUGCUUUCUGGUGUUACUGGUCUCUUGGGAGCAAGGGGUGUCCUCAGUAAAACACAGUCCCUUAGGUAGACAAUAGUGGGACCUUCUUGGACUUGACGUCGGUUUAAUGAAUAAACACAUGGACACUCAUAUAUUUUUAAGCUUAGGUCUUUUGCCUGGGCUUCCUCCUAGCCAGCUCAUCUAACUUAAUCUUAUCAUUCUAGUCCACAUCCCACCAUGUGACUAGUCCUUUACCUCUUUUCUGGCAGUUUCCUGGAGCAGGAGUCUUCAAGUUAAAACAAAUUGCCCACUGUUUCCACGAGGACUAAGUAAUGAUUGCCUCUUUCCUAGAAUCCAAGACUGAAUUUGGAAAUC